CGUGCGGCGAUAGGAGCCGCCAGCAGCCCCCAGCUCUGUUCGCUGCUUCGGGGCCCGUGUGCACGGCGGGCGGGGGCGGGGGCGGGGGCGGGGGUUGCGCUCGCUCCCACGCCUCCGCCGGGAUAAAUAGGAGGCGUCGGGCAGCUCCGCUCCCACCCUCGCCGCGCCUCCGCUCCGCUCCGCUCCGCUGGACCGAGCAGCCACCGCAGCCCCCGGGGAGCGAUGGAUCCCCAGGACUGUCUUUGUGUUGCCGGUUGUUGCUCCUGUUGCCCAGCUGGAUGCAAUAAUUGUGCCAAGGGCUGUGUCUGCAAAGGUCUAGCAUCUGGGAAAUGCAGCUGCUGUUCCUAAAAUGGCUAUUUUCUGUUCUCCUGUAAAUAUUCUGUAUGAAAGGCAAAACUAAUUUUGUUUGUAGUGUAGCAAUGACUAUUUUGUACCUUUCACAGAAAUGUCGAUUUGAGGUUAAAUGAAAAUAAAGGCCAUGACUGGAGAAAUGUAA